rnacentral:rRNA from 1 species
GACGAACGCUGGCGGCGCGCCUAACACAUGCAAGUCGAACGAGCGAGCGAGAGCUUGCUUUCUCGAGCGAGUGGCGAACGGGUGAGUAACGCGUGAGGAACCUGCCUCAAAGAGGGGGACAACAGUUGGAAACGACUGCUAAUACCGCAUAAGCCCACGACCCGGCAUCGGGUAGAGGGAAAAGGAGCAAUCCGCUUUGAGAUGGCCUCGCGUCCGAUUAGCUAGUUGGUGAGGUAACGGCCCACCAAGGCGACGAUCGGUAGCCGGACUGAGAGGUUGAGCGGCAACAUUGGGACUGAGACACGGCCCAGACUCCUACGGGAGGCAGCAGUGGGGAAUAUUGCACAAUGGGGGAAACCCUGAUGCAGCGACGCCGCGUGGAGGAAGAAGGUCUUCGGAUUGUAAACUCCUGUUGUUGAGGAAGAUAAUGACGGUACUCAACAAGGAAGUGACGGCUAACUACGUG